rnacentral:rRNA from 1 species
AGAGUUUGAUCAUGGCUCAGGAUGAACGCUGGCGGCGUGCCUAAUACAUGCAAGUCGUGCGGAAAGGCCACUUCGGUGGUACUCGAGCGGCGGACGGCAGAGUAACGCGUAGGAACAUACCCCAAACUGGGGCAUAACUGCUCGAAAGAGCAGCUAAUACCGCAUGUGAUCUUCGGAUUAAAGCUUCGGCGGUUUGGGAAUGGCCUGCGUCCGAUUAGCUAGUUGGUGAGGUAAAUGCUCACCGAGGCUUCGAUCGGUAGCUGGUCUGAGAGGAUGAUCAGCCUGACUGGAACUGAGAACGGUCCAGACUCCUACGGGAGGCAGCAGUAGGGAAUUUUCCACAAUGGGCGAAAGCCUGAUGGAGCAACGCUGCGUGCAGGAUGAAUGCCUUCGGGUUGUAAACUGCUUUUAUUAGUGAAGAAUAUGACGGUAACUAAUGAAUAAGGGUCGGCUAACUACGUG